AUCGCUUCUCGGCCUUUUGGCUAAGAUCAAGUGUAGAAAUUACAAUAUUUAUCACAGGGCAAACCAAUUAUUUAAAAAUUAUUUUUGAUUCCCAAUAAUGAUCUAAUGAUUUCACCCAGUUUUUAAUUGGUAAUAAUGCAAAUAAAGCAUUUAUUCCAUCUGUU
rnacentral:snRNA from 1 species